AUUGAACGCUGGCGGCAGGCCUAACACAUGCAAGUCGAGCGGAUGAGUGGAGCUUGCUCCAUGAUUCAGCGGCGGACGGGUGAGUAAUGCCUAGGAAUCUGCCUGGUAGUGGGGGACAACGUUCCGAAAGGGACGCUAAUACCGCAUACGUCCUACGGGAGAAAGUGGGGGAGUCUUCGGACCUCACGCUAUCAGAUGAGCCUAGGUCGGAUUAGCUAGUUGGUGAGGUAAAGGCUCACCAAGGCGACGAUCCGUAACUGGUCUGAGAGGAUGAUCAGUCACACUGGAACUGAGACACGGUCCAGACUCCUACGGGAGGCAGCAGUGGGGAAUAUUGGACAAUGGGCGAAAGCCUGAUCCAGCCAUGCCGCGUGUGUGAAGAAGGUCUUCGGAUUGUAAAGCACUUUAAGUUGGGAGGAAGGGCAGUAAGUUAAUACCUUGCUGUUUUGACGUUACCAACAGAAUAAGCACCGGCUAACUUCGUGCC
rnacentral:rRNA from 1 species